GUUUGAGAUAAACAAAGAACCAGAGUCCUAGAAGGGAUCCAUUAACAUUAAUAAGUUGCAGAGAAGAGGAAUCAGUGGAGGAGAUUGAAAAGAAGCAACCAUUGAAGUAGCAGGAAAAGAGACUGAGGCGAACUAGGAGCCAAAUGAAGAAAGUAUUUUAAGGAAGAGAGAAUGGUCACUGCUACUGAUUAUCAAACAAUAUGAGGACUCAGAACUCAUCAUUGGGUUUAGCAGUCUUGAGGUCAUUGCUGACCUGACAAGAAGAGAUUUCAUGAAUUGUAAUGAAAGCUUGACUGGAAUGGGUUUAAGAGAGAGUAGGAAGACACUAAUGGCAGCUCCUUUGAAGAGUUUUACUGCAAAGUGAAAGCAGAAGCAAAGCCAUCAACUGGAGAAGAAGCUGUUGGAUGUUUGAGAAGAAGACAGCUAUGUAAGAGUCACCCAAGAGAUUGGGACUGUGAAUUAAGCAGGUCACUAUAGGUGGACAGCAAGACCUCUGAAGCAACUGAAGCAAGCCACAGUUGUGUCUGACUUCAGUCACAGUCAGCUGCCUUGGAGCUGGAGAGAGAUAACAUUCCGGUGUUAUGAUUACAUCCCAUUCGGAAGCAGGAAAUCUCCCUCCUUGCGGCAGGAACCGGAGUGCGCAGGCGCUAGAAGUAGCCGCUGCCUCGGUGCAGACAGGGCAGACUCCACUUGCUUGGUCCAGUUGUGUUCCACAUCUCGCAGGAGGGAGAAUGCAGGUGAUCUCCGCACAUGUCAGUUUCCCUGCUCCUGCCAUGACAGAAGGCAGCCUGAGAGCAUCCUCAGAUGCAGAGUCCAGUCUUGAACUUUUCCAGACAUCAGAACCGUGAGCCAAAUAAACCUUUGAUUUUCUU
rnacentral:lncRNA from 13 species